UUGACCUCGGAUCAGGUAGGGAUACCCGCUGAACUUAAUCAUAUCAUA
rnacentral:rRNA from 1 species